rnacentral:rRNA from 1 species
GGCACAAGCGGAGGAGCAUGUGGUUUAAUUCGAUGCAACGCGAAGAACUUACCUGGUCUUGACAUCCCGGAGACCCUUAGGAAACUAGGGGUGCUUCCAUCUGGAAGAAUCUGGAGACAGGUGCUGCAUGGCUGUCGUCAGCUCGUGUCGUGAGAUGUUGGGUUAAGUCCCGCAACGAGCGCAACCCUUGCCUUUAGUUGCCAGCAGUUCGGCUGGGCACCCUAAAGGGACUGCCGGUGUUAAACCGGAGGAAGUGGGGAUGACGUCAAGUCCUCAUGGCCUUUAUGACCAGGGCUACACACGUACUACAAUGGCCGAUACAAAGGGCAGCGACACUGCGAGGUGAAGCCAAUCCCGUAAAAUCGGUCUCAGUCCGGAUUGGAGUCUGCAACUCGACUCCAUGAAGUUGGAAUCGCUAGUAAUCGUGGAUCAGCAUGCCACGGUGAAUACGUUCCCGGGCCUC